ACUCCUACGGGAGGCAGCAGUGGGGAAUAUUGCACAAUGGGCGCAAGCCUGAUGCAGCCAUGCCGCGUGUAUGAAGAAGGCCUUCGGGUUGUAAAGCACUUUCAGUAGGGAGGAAGGUAGUGUAGUUAACACCUGCAUUAUUUGACGUUACCUACAGAAGAAGCACCGGCUAACUCCGUGCCAGCAGCCGCGGUAAUACGGAGGGUGCGAGCGUUAAUCGGAAUUACUGGGCGUAAAGCGCAUGCAGGCGGCCUGUUAAGUCAGAUGUGAAAGCCCGGGGCUUAACCUCGGAAUUGCAUUUGAAACUGGCAGGCUAGAGUCUUGUAGAGGGGGGUAGAAUUUCAGGUGUAGCGGUGAAAUGCGUAGAGAUCUGAAGGAAUACCGGUGGCGAAGGCGGCCCCCUGGACAGAUACUGACACUCAGAUGCGAAAGCGUGGGGAGCAAACAGGAUUAGAUACCCUGGUAGGAUAGCG
rnacentral:rRNA from 1 species